AUUACUCGAAGUGUAUAACCUCAAAUCUUUUCUUGAUACUGAUUGGGAAAAUUCACAGUGAUCACAUUUCAAGCGAGUGCUGGAAAACGGCGGAGACAUUGUUAGGGUGAAAGAAGAACCGGACGAUACAUUGCCCGAUGCAGGGGAACAUCAUAUUUUCGAUUCGCUAAACUCUUGCGAAACAAAAAACAAUGAAGUAUUGCCGUUCUCUGGAUUAUCAGCAAAUCACACGAAUGAGGUUAUGGCGUUACAAGAAAAAUUAGAUGAAAAAAUAAACAUAGAUUUUGAGUGCAAAUAUGUUAUACCAAAAUUAGAAUCUUCAUCAACAGUCGUCUGUAAACCCGAAUAUAAAAGUUACCUACCUAUUGUGAAAGUAGAAAAAGAACUUCAGGCUAAUCA